GCCGGUAUAGUAUAGUGGCAGUACACCACGUUGUGGCCGUGCAGACGCUGGUUCGAUUCCAGCUACCGGCA
rfam:Parasitella parasitica strain CBS 412.66 genome assembly, contig: contig_19177